rnacentral:rRNA from 1 species
AGCAGCCGCGGUAAUUCCAGCUCCAAUAGCGUAUAUUAAAGUUGUUGCAGUUAAAAAGCUCGUAGUUGAAUUUCGGGACCAAUAUGUCGGUCGUGCUUCGGUACGUACUUGCAUUAUUGGUUUCUCCCUUCUGAAGAACCUUGAUGUCAUUAAUUUGGUGUCUUGGGGAAUCAGGACUGUUACUUUGAAAAAAUUAGGGUGUUUAAAGCAGGCUCACGCUUGAAUACAUUAGCAUGGAAUAAUGAAAUAGGACGUUUGAUUCUAUUUUGUUGGUUUCUAGGAUCGACGUAAUGAUUAAUAGGGAUAGUUGGGGGCAUUAGUAUUCAAUUGUCAGAGGUGAAAUUCUUGGAUUUAUUGAAGACUAACUACUGCGAAAGCAUUUGCCAAGGAUGUUUUCAUUAAUCAAGAACGAAAGUUAGGGGAUCGAAGACGAUCAGAUACCGUCGUAGUCUUAACCAUAAACUAUGCCGACUAGGGAUCGGAUGAUGUUAUUUUGAUGACUCAUUCGGCGCCUUACGGG